GGCGAUUUGAGUUCUUAGCAUGAAGGGAGAAGUGAGGAGGGAGAGGAAACGAAAACCCCACUCCAAGCUCUCUAACUUCCUCUCAAACUUACUAUCAAACUUGCUACUGAAUUUUUGAUAUGUGUGGAAGGGAGAAAUUUAUGCAUAUGAUGGGGUUUUUAUAGGCCAACUUGGUGUACUUUGGGAGGAUUAAAUGGGGCUUAUCCUCUUUUGUUUUCAUGCCGCAGCACAUCCCCUUAAUUGGUCCUCACAGCUGCACUUUUACUUAAGGAUUUUUGGUGGCAUUUGUGGUACUAGCAAGAAUGCAGGUGCUGCCAUAGUGUGGAGGAUUUGCAGGUUUUGACUUACCUUUAUUGGAAAAUGUGACUUGGCUGCCGCAUUGCUGUCCGAGGCAUGGGCUCGCUGCCCUGGGCGCGACGGGCUGUUCGGAACGGUCCGUGAUUUGGGCUUGGGAGAAAGAGGCCCAAAGUGCAAGCAAUAUAGCAAUAUAGUUUCUUAAGCUCUAGGCCCAUACUUGUGUAUUUUUUAAUAGCAUCCAUAAUUCCCUUUUCUUCAAUUCAUAAACCCACAUGAAUUUAGUUAUGUAAGUUAAAGUGUAGU